GGCUGUGGCUCAGUGGUAGAGUGCUUGUCCAGCACAUAUGAGGUGCUGGGUUUGAUCCUCAGCACCA
rnacentral:tRNA from 1 species